CUGAACACUGUCAUCUGCCAGAGCUUCAGGCAAGAACCCAGAACAGAUGAAACCCCAGACAUGACAAAAUAAGCCAAGGAAUACCAGGCCAAGAUGUGAAAGGCCAGAUGAGAACAAGCAGCAUACAUGAUUCUGUUGCCAACAGAUCUCCCCUAACAGUGUCGUCCACCAAAUUUCCACAGUGAAUGUCAGGAAAAAAUGGCAAUUGAGAUGAAGAAACUGAGGCAGACAGAGGUGAAGAAACUUGCACAAGGUCAAAGAACAAGCUGAAGAAAUCUGAAAAAAGGCUGAAAGCUGAAACAACUGACGGAAUUCUACGAGACUGUACAAACAAACAAACACUAGCAAAAGAAAUAAUCUAGACACAAGGGGAGGAUUCAUCAUCAAAUAAUUACAUGAUUUCAUGUUAAUGUGGGGAAGGGAAAUACUUGUCAAUGGCUAUGUGUCAAACUGUCCCUGGAGAAGUCAAAAGAAUACCUGAAGCUACAUUAGAAGCACGACUGAGAAAUCACUGAUAUAUUACUUCUCACUCCUUUAUCGCCAGGCAGUACAGUGACUGCAAAUUGCAGUUAGAAUGGAAAUGUCGGCAUGUUGUUUAUUUUCAACAUGACUCGACAUCAGAAUAACAAAAAUU
rnacentral:lncRNA from 1 species